rnacentral:rRNA from 1 species
AGAGCGCAGGGAGGAUGCCUUGGCACCAGGAGCCGACGAAGGACGCAGCUAACUGCGAAAAGCCUCGGGGAGUCGUAAGCAGACAUUGAUCCGGGGAUAUCCGAAUGGGGCAACCCGGCUGGGUUCAUACCCAGUCACCGUAUACUGAAUCCAUAGGUAUACGGAGGGAACCGCCUGAACUGAAACAUCUAAGUAGGGCGAGGAAGAGAAAUCAACCGAGAUUCCGCAAGUAGUGGCGAGCGAACGCGGAAGAGGCCAAACCAGAGGUAGCAAUACUUCUGGGGUUAGGACGGCAACAUGUAUGGCAGAGUCUAGUGGAAUGGUCUGGGAAGGCCAACCGGAGAGGGUGAGAGUCCCGUAGACGAAAGACGAAAUCAGCUAGCCGUAUCCAGAGUACCGCCGGACACGUGAAACCCGGUGGGAAGAUGGGGGGACCACCCUCCAAGCCUAAAUACUACCUGGUGACCGAUAGUGUAUAGUACUGUGAAGGAAAGGUGAAAAGCACCCCGGGAGGGGAGUGAAAUAGAACCUGAAACCCUGUGCUUACAAGCACUGAGAGCCCGUCAAUGGGUGAUCAGGUACCUUUUGUAGAAUGGUCCGGCGAGUGAGUGUAACUAGCAAGGUUAAGGACUUCAGGUCUGGAGCCGCAGCGAGAGCGAGUCUGAAUAGGGCGCAUGAAGUUAGUUGCAUUCGACCCGAAACCGGGUGACCUACGCAUGAUCAGGGUGAAGUGGAGGUAAAACUCCAUGGAGGCCCGAACGCACGUCCGUUGAAAAGGCCGGCGAUGAAUUGUGUGUAGCGGAGAAAUUCCAAUCGAACCCGGAGAUAGCUGGUUCUCCUCGAAAUAGCUUUAGGGCUAGCCUCAUAUUGAGAUUACUGGAGGUAAAGCACUGAAUGGGCUAGGGGCCGAGAGGUUACUGAACCCUAUCAAACUAAGAAUGCCAGAUAAUCAUAUAUGGGAGUCAGACAGUGUGAGAUAAGUUUCAUUGUCAAAAGGGAAAGAGCCCAGACCCACAGCUAAGGUCCCAAAAUUGGUUUAAGUGGAAAAGGAUGUGGGGUUGCGUAGACAACUAGGAUGUUGGCUUAGAAGCAGCCACUCAUUAAAAGAGUGCGUAAUAGCUCACUAGUCGAGUGACCCUGCGCCGAAAAUUUAACGGGGCUAAAAUCAAUACCGAAGCUUGGGAUUGAUACGCAAGUAUCAGUGGUAGAGGAGCGUUGUGUAAGGGGUGAAGUCAGAGCGGAAGCGCUGGUGGACUUUACACAAGAGAGAAUGCCGGAAUGAGUAGCGAGAAAUAUGUGAGAAUCAUAUUGGCCGAAAGCCUAAGGUUUCUGGAGGAAGGUUCGUCCGCUCCAGGUUAGCCGGGAGCUAAGGUGAGGCCGAAAGGCGUAGCCGAUGCACAUACGGUGGAUAUUCCGUAGCCGCCAAAAGAUUUAAGUAUGGGGACACUCUUGAAGUUCAUGACCCGGGCGAUGGUUGCCCCGGGCGUAAGGGACCGAAAUUAAGUAGGGAAGCAUGGAUGGAUGGAGGCGAGAAAAGCCAUAUGGAUAUCUUCGGCGCCCGUACCGCAAACCGACACAGGUAGGCAGGAAGAGGAUUCUAAGGCCAACGGGAGAAAGGUUGUUAAGGAACUCGGCAAAUUGACCCCGUAACUUAGGGAUAAGGGGUGCCCGUGUAACAGCGGGCCGCAGAGAAUAGGCCCAGGCGACUGUUUAGCAAAAACACAGGUCUCUGCCAAAUCGAAAGAUGAAGUAUAGGGGCUGACACCUGCCCGGUGCUGGAAGGUUAAGAGGAGGAGUGCAAGCUCUGAAUUGAAGCCCCAGUAAACGGCGGCCGUAACUAUAACGGUCCUAAGGUAGCGAAAUUCCUUGUCGGGUAAGUUCCGACCCGCACGAAUGGUGUAACGAUCUGGGCGCUGUCUCAACAACCUGCCCGGCGAAAUUGUAGUACCGGUGAAGAUGCCGGUUACCUGCGACAAGACGGAAAGACCCCAUGGAGCUUCACUGUAGCCUGAUAUUGGGUUUCGGUAUUUUAUGUACAGGAUAGGCGGGAGGCUUGGAAACUAGGGCGCCAGCUCUAGCGGAGCCAACCUUGGGAUACCGCUCUUAAAGUGCUGGAAUUCUAACCUGCGGCCGUGAAUCCGGCCGGGGGACAUUGUCAGGUGGGCAGUUUGACUGGGGCGGUCGCCUCCAAAAGAGUAACGGAGGCGCUCAAAGGU